GACGAACGCUGGCGGCGUGCUUAACACAUGCAAGUCGAACGAGAAGAGAUGAGAAGCUUGCUUCUUAUCAAUUCGAGUGGCAAACGGGUGAGUAACGCGUAAGCAACCUGCCCUUCAGAUGGGGACAACAGCUGGAAACGGCUGCUAAUACCGAAUACGUUCUUUUUGUCGCAUGGCAGAGGGAAGAAAGGGAGGCUCUUCGGAGCUUUCGCUGAAGGAGGGCUUGCGUCUGAUUAGCUAGUUGGAGGGGUUAACGGCCCACCAAGGCGACGAUCAGUAGCCGGUCUGAGAGGAUGAACGGCCACAUUGGGACUGAGACACGGCCCAGACUCCUACGGAGGCAGCAGUGGGAAUCUUCCGCAAUGGACGAAAGUCUGACGGAGCAACGCCGCGUGAACGAUGACGGCCUCGGGUUGUAAAGUUCGUGUUAUACGGGACGAAUGGCGUAGCGGUCAA
rnacentral:rRNA from 1 species